GUCACACCCUCCAUGGAACUGGAACAGUCAAGACAAAUAAUCACUUCGUUCUUUCCACGGAGGUCAGGGAGGACGUCCGCAAGCUCCGGUUGAAAGACAAGCAUGCAGGCCUAAAGGGAGAAGGAGGCAGUGGAUCAGAGGUUCUCGCAGCUUACAUGGGAAAAUACUCUCAAUGCCAAAAGCUUCUAGGACCCGUGAGAGGCUCAGCAGGGUGCUACAGUGCCAGGGAUGAAGAAGAUGGCCACAGGACUCUGGAUGCUGAGUUCCGUGAUGUAGGUGAUUUUGAUGAGGACUUUAGCCCGAGGGGGUUUCUGAAAGACCUUACAGGGAUGCCUUCUGUGUUACGGCUUGGUGAAAGGUGGACAUACUGAUAGACCCUGUUGACUGACCUGAGGACCGGGCCAUGACUGGAGCAUGGGAAAAAGACAUUUUACAGAGGGAUACUGUCUACUCCCAAUGUGUGUGUUCUCUUAUCAGUCUGGCAGUCGAGUGCCUGGUGGCAGUACCAGUUCUUCUGCUUCACACAACAGCGACUUCAUUUCCUCCUUUAGACAACGCACGUGGGUAUGACUGGCUUGACCUCCUGUACUCCUAAGGGGUUUUCAUUUGUGUGUUUGAGACAAAGUCUUGCUAGGAAGCUCUGACAGGCUAGAGCUCACAGUGUAGAACAACAGGUGAGCCUUGAACUUGCAGCAAUUCUCCUGCCUCUACCUCUCAAGGGCUGAGAUUAUGGUAUAUGCCACCACGUGUGACAUUUAAGAGAAAUCUCAUAAGCUCAGAGUACUGUAAAUAAUCUUGGCUUCUAUUAUGGAUUCAUAUUGCAAAUCAUUUCCCAUAAUGCAUGGGCUACAGAAUGAGUGACAAGCUGUACCGGAGUGUCCUGGUCCAUCAAGUAAGCACCAUGGCCUUGGCUGACAGCCUCUCGGUACUCCUGCCGGGCCUCUUCCUUUUCCUUUAUCUGAAAAAGACAAUUAUCAUGAUGAUUAUGUUGGUUUUGAUUUUUUUGAGGCCACGUCUCACUCUGUCCUAGACUGGCCUGGAACUCAUCAUGUACCCCAGGCUGGCCUUGAGCUUGCAACAAUCCUCUUGCUGAGAUGGCAGGUGAGGUGCCAUGCUCAACUUUGGGAAAGAUUUUUAAACUGCUCGUUAUAGGAAGAGCGACUUCGGACUUUGAUUAGGGAAAUGACACCAGGAUUUAUUAAGGUCCAGAAAAAGCCAGGAAACUAAGUUUAGAUGAGCAAAAAUUUUCAUAAGAGGAACACCAAAGUGUCCUGCCAAGAAAAAAUCCGAACUGAAAAGGCUGACUAGAGAGGCUCCUCCUCAUGCUAGGACCAGACUCAAGUCAGCAGUUGAAAAUGAAAAGUUGGGGACUUAAUGUUAGACGCAACAAAAAUGUUUAUUUCAUUUAUUAUUUUUAAAGUAGUGAUUACUCCUCUCAUUGUUGUUGUUGUUGAGACAGGGUCUUACUAUGUAGCCUUGGUAGACCUGGAGCUCACUGUGUACAACAGGCUGGCCUUGAACUCACAGAGACCUGCCUGCUUCUGCCUCCUGAAUGCUAGGAUUAAAGUUGUGUACUAUUACAUCAGCUCCUUGUUAUUCUUUACCAAUCCAAUUUAUUAAACUGUAAUUUCUUUUAAAA
rnacentral:lncRNA from 1 species